rnacentral:rRNA from 1 species
CGCCUUGCCAGCCCGCUACAGAAACUUAAAUAGAAUUGACGGGGGCCCGCACAAGCGGUGGAGUAUGUGGUUAAUUCGAUGCAACGCGAAGAACCUUACCUGGUCUUGACAUCCCGGAGACCCUUAGGAAACUAGGGGGUGCUUCCAUCUGGAAGAAUCUGGAGACAGGUGCUGCAUGGCUGUCGUCAGCUCGUGUCGUGAGAUGUUGGGUUAAGUCCCGCAACGAGCGCAACCCUUGCCUUUAGUUGCCAGCAGUUCGGCUGGGCACUCUAAAGGGACUGCCGGUGUUAAACCGGAGGAAGGUGGGGAUGACGUCAAGUCCUCAUGGCCUUUAUGACCAGGGCUACACACGUACUACAAUGGCCGAUACAAAGGGCAGCGACACUGCGAGGUGAAGCCAAUCCCGUAAAAUCGGUCUCAGUCCGGAUUGGAGUCUGCAACUCGACUCCAUGAAGUUGGAAUCGCUAGUAAUCGUGGAUCAGCAUGCCACGGUGAAUACGUUCCCGGGCCUU